AAAAGUAGAUCUUUAUUUCCGGCCAGGCAUUUAUUGGAGUGGAUCCCACACUUGCGGUACAUGACUGGCGUUGACUGGAAAUGCUUUUCCACUUUUUCCAUCCAAAUGUAGUGAGGUGUUAUCGAUGACACACACACGCACACACACACACACACACACACACACACACACACACACACUCACACACACAGUUAUUGCAACAUAUUGUAAAGGUUGACAAAACCACUGACGUACAAUUGAAUCACAGUGAGCUUACCCUGUCUGUCAUCUAUUUUUAGGCGAACGGACGCACACAGACACUCUCCACCUGGUUGACAUCAUCGGAUGCAUCAUGUGACCAUUCCUGGGAUGACAUCAUCAAGGCGAUGACAUAUUCCAGGGCAGUGGGCGGAAGGAUGAAACCGCAACACACUGGACUGACACCAUGGCACACCCGUACCAGGAAGUGAAAUAAAAAGGUAAAAGAGAAGUUCAGCUCUAUAUGUACAAAUAUGCACAAUGGUGUAUACCCAUCCACCCAUUCUCAGAACUGUUAAUCCUCGCGAGUGGAGUUGCGCUUCACACAUGUCGGAGGAGCACUGGACCAUAAACAGUCUUGUCUUUGGACAGCCGUAUUGUUAAUAAAUAACCUUCAUUGUUACAGCCCUGUGGCAAUAUUUGGGAACAAAAAUGUACCAUUUCAAAACCAUUUUCCUCAUGGCAAAUCUUUGAAAUGUAAUUCAUUUGGUUCCAGGUUUUGAAAUGUUGACAUCCGGACAUCUUUAGGCAAAGUUUGAGCAGAUGUAACUUUUCUAACUAUCAUGUUAUAAUACAGCUGAAGUCAAGUCAAAGUAAUCAACCUCUGAAGACAUUUCACUGAUGUUAUAUUAGGGACUGCAACAUCUGUUAGCAGUUAGCAUGUGCCUUUGCUUAACCUAAUGUCUUUAGCCUCACUUCACGUUUGAAUUUUUUUUUUUUUUAACUCGCUUAGAAAUUACCGGUAGUAACUGUCACUCGUGUAAAAUUUAGCCACAGUUUAACGAAGAAAAACUAGCCACCCUUUGAAAAUUGAAGCUCAAUCACAUUGACAUUUAGAUAUUAGAGAGGGAAAACUAAAGUCCAUGCUGCACUGUAUUUGUUUCUGGAGUAGCUAGUGACGAGAGCAAAUGUGAGUAACGUUUCCUGACGCUUACCCAAUAUUGUAUGGUUUUUUUUUUUUUUUUUGGUACACUUCAGUCAGAAGGGUUCGGAAAAAAAGAAUAUGUCUACAAAUAAUGUCAUGUUUUACUAGCUGUUUGCGACCCACUUUUGGGGUUGCGUCAAACUUGUCGAGGAUCAGUUUUACUUCAUCCAAAAUGCAAAGAACUUGCAAAUGUAACAUUCAAAACAUUUUUUGUUUCCACCAGGAUGUUUGGUUUGGUCAUUAAAUGGCAUCACAGAUUACAAAUACAGUAUGUUUAAACGGGCUUUAUGAGGCAAUUAUUCAACAUGUGCACACAAACACUACAGAAAACUAUUUACGUUUUUUUUCCCCCCUUAGCAGACGAGUCGUUGCCUGCGUGUUCUGAUAUCACAGUGCCUUGCCUGAGUGAAAGUAUGUCUCAAGCUUGAAAUAGAUAUCCACGAACGUUGGAUGACAAGUGCAGACACAUUGAUGUUUUUCUUGAGUG